rnacentral:tRNA from 1 species
GCCGCCGUGCCCCAACUGGAAGAGGGCUUCGGUCGAGAACCGAAGGGUUGCAGGUUCGAACCCUGCCGGCGGCA